GAGGAAGUAAAAGUCGUAACAAGGUUUCCGUAGGUGAACCUGCGGAAGGAUCAUUAUCGAAUAAACAUUUGAUAGGCUGUUGCUGGCCCUUCCAGGGCAGUGUGCACGCUUGUCAUUUAUUUGUUUAUUUUUUUCCACCUGUGCACCUUUCUGUAGACCCUUGGAAUUUGGGGACUGCUGUGCCAAGUGCCAGCUUUUCCUUUGUCUCUCUCUAGGUUCUAUGUUCAUCACAUACUCCUACGAAUGUAAUAGAAUGUUGAUCUGGGUCUUUGAUGCCCAUAAAAGUUAUAUACAACUUUCAGCAACGGAUCUCUUGGCUCUCGCAUCGAUGAAGAACGCAGCGAAAUGCGAUAAGUAAUGUGAAUUGCAGAAUUCAGUGAAUCAUCGAAUCUUUGAACGCAUCUUGCGCUCCUUGGUAUUCUGAGGAGCAUGCCUGUUUGAGUGUCAUUAAAUUCUCAACUACACAUGGUGUGGCUUGGAUUUGGGCGGUUGCAGGCUUCUGUUGUAGUCUGCUCCCCUGAAAUUGAUUAGCAGUACCUUGGUGGAACUGUCUACAGGUGUGAUAAUUAUCUGCAUCCUGGACAUCUGCUUUAAUGCUGCUUUCUAAACCUGAUCUGCAUUGACCAUCUUGACCUCAAAUCAGGUAGGACUACCCGCUGAACUUAAGCAUAUCAA
rnacentral:sRNA from 1 species